GGCAUGGCGCAGCUACACAUGCAGUCGAGCGGUAACAGAUCCAGCUUGCUGGAUGCUGACGAGCGGCGGACGGGUGAGUAAUGCAUAGGAAUCUGCCCGAUAGUGGGGGAUAACCUGGGGAAACCCAGGCUAAUACCGCAUACGUCCUACGGGAGAAAGGGGGCUUCGGCUCCCGCUAUCGGAUGAGCCUAUGUCGGAUUAGCUAGUUGGUGAGGUAACGGCUCACCAAGGCCACGAUCCGUAGCUGGUCUGAGAGGAUGAUCAGCCACAUCGGGACUGAGACACGGCCCGAACUCCUACGGGAGGCAGCAGUGGGGAAUAUUGGACAAUGGGGGGAACCCUGAUCCAGCCAUGCCGCGUGUGUGAAGAAGGCCCUCGGGUUGUAAAGCACUUUCAGCGAGGAAGAACGCCUAGCGGUUAAUACCCGCUAGGAAAGACAUCACUCGCAGAAGAAGCACCGGCUAACUCCGUGCCAGCAGCCGCGGUAAUACGGAGGGUGCAAGCGUUAAUCGGAAUUACUGGGCGUAAAGCGCGCGUAGGUGGCUUGAUAAGCCGGUUGUGAAAGCCCCGGGCUCAACCUGGGAACGGCAUCCGGAACUGUCAAGCUAGAGUGCAGGAGAGGAAGGUAGAAUUCCCGGUGUAGCGGUGAAAUGCGUAGAGAUCGGGAGGAAUACCAGUGGCGAAGGCGGCCUUCUGGACUGACACUGACACUGAGGUGCGAAAGCGUGGGUAGCAAACAGGAUUAGAAGUCUU
rnacentral:rRNA from 1 species